rnacentral:misc_RNA from 1 species
AAAACUCGCGCGUGCCAUAGGCCAGGCCAGGGCCACUGAUCCGAAUCAAGAGGAGGGACAAAUAGAAGUGCAACUACAAAUCGCCAAUGGCAGAGUGCUUGUCACACUUGACACUAUCGCCGUCGCCAACAAAAAUGGCGUCGCUUACUGGCACCGCCUCUUCUCGUCUUCUGCCCUCCGUUUAUCGAGCUCGAAUCUCUCUCUCUUCAUCUUCUUCUGCUUCUUCCUAUCUUUCUCCCCUCUCUCUCUCCUCCUCUUCCUCUUAUUCUCUGUCUCCUCUCAAAUGUCUCCGAUCUUCUCCCCUCCUUCCUCAUUUCUUCUUAAAUCAGAAACGAUCGUCGAUGAGUACGGUAGCUGCGGCGUCGGAUCCUGCUCAGCUGAAGAGUGCGAGAGAAGAUAUCAAAGUACUUCUCAAGUCUAAGUUUUGCCAUCCUAUUCUGGUUCGAAUAGGAUGGCAUGAUGCUGGUACAUAUAACAAGAACAUAGAGGAAUGGCCUAAGAGAGGUGGAGCCAAUGGAAGUCUCAGAUUUGAAAUUGAGUUGAAACAUGGAGCCAAUGCUGGCCUGGUGAAUGCAUUGAACCUUCUUCAGCCUAUCAAGGACAAGUACUCUGGUGUGACAUAUGCAGAUUUGUUCCAGUUGGCCAGUGCUACUGCUAUAGAGGAAGCUGGAGGGCCCAAAAUCCCCAUGAAGUAUGGAAGGGUGGAUAUUUCAGCACCCGAACAGUGUCCUGAAGAGGGGAGGCUUCCUAGCGCUGGCCCCCCUAAACCUGCGGAUCAUUUGCGAGAAAUUUUUUACAGAAUGGGUUUAAAUGACCAGGAAAUAGUUGCAUUAUCUGGUGCACACACCCUAGGAAGGUCCAGACCUGAUCGCAGUGGUUGGGGAAAACCUGAGACAAAGUAUACGAAAAAUGGACCAGGAGCACCAGGAGGACAAUCCUGGACGGUAGAAUGGCUGAAGUUUGACAACUCCUACUUCAAGGAUAUCAAAGAAAGAAGGGAUGAAGAUUUACUUGUAUUGCCAACUGAUGCUGUUAUUUUCGAAGAUCCUUCAUUCAAGUUAUAUGCCGAGAAAUAUGCUGAAGAUCAGGAGGCGUUCUUCAAGGACUAUGCUGAAGCCCAUGCCAAGCUCAGCAACCUUGGAGCCAAAUUUGAUCCUCCCCAGGGUAUUGUGUUAGAUGGAGUUGCAGGAGAGAAAUUUGUGGCAGCCAACUAAUCUGGAAAGGAUUAAGAAACAAGUAACUUGUUUUGUAGUGCUGUAUCUUUUAAUAAUACAGGAUGAAGCUAUUCGCAUCGUAAGAGUACACAUCUAAAACUUGGCAGUCUAACUGAAGGAGAAGCAGAAGAUACAAGCAGAGUAUGAAGCGCUUAGUGGAAGCCCUGAUAAAUCUC